GCGCUCGUAGCUCAACCGGAUAGAGCAUUGGAUUCCGGUUCCAAAGGUUAGGGGUUCGACUCCCUUCGAGCGCGC
rnacentral:tRNA from 1 species